rnacentral:rRNA from 1 species
AUUGAACGCUGGCGGAAUGCUUUACACAUGCAAGUCGAACGGUAGAGGGGGCAACCCCUUGAGAGUGGCGAACGGGUGAGUAAUAUAUCGGAACGUGCCCAGUCGUGGGGAUAACGUAGCGAAAGUUACGCUAAUACCGCAUACGAUCUAAGAAUGAAAGCGGGGGAUCGCAAGACCUCGCGCGAUUGGAGCGGCCGAUAUCAGAUUAGGUAGUUGGUGAGGUAAAGGCUCACCAAGCCGACGAUCUGUAGCUGGUCUGAGAGGACGACCAGCCACACUGGGACUGAGACACGGCCCAGACUCCUACGGGAGGCAGCAGUGGGGAAUUUUUGGGACAAUGGGCGCAAGCCUGAUCCAGCAAUGCCGCGUGCAGGAUG